rnacentral:rRNA from 1 species
GACGAACGCUGGCGGCGUGCUUAACACAUGCGAGUCGAACGGAAAGGCCCUGCUUUUGUGGGGUGCUCGAGUGGCGAACGGGUGAGUAACACGUGAGUAACCUGCCCUUGACUUUGGGAUAACUUCAGGAAACUGGGGCUAAUACCGGAUAGGAGCUCCUGCUGCAUGGUGGGGGUUGGAAAGUUUCGGCGGUUGGGGAUGGACUCGCGGCUUAUCAGCUUGUUGGUGGGGUAGUGGCUUACCAAGGCUUUGACGGGUAGCCGGCCUGAGAGGGUGACCGGCCACAGUGGGACUGAGAUACGGCCCAGACUCCUACGGGAGGCAGCAGUGGGGAAUAUUGCACAAUGGGCGGAAGCCUGAUGCAGCAACGCCGCGUGCGGGAUGACGGCCUUCGGGUUGUAAACCGCUUUCGCCUGUGACGAAGCGUGAGUGACGGUAAUGGGUAAAGAAGCACCGGCUAACUACGUG